UACGUAGGUGGCAAGCGUUGUCCGGAUUUACUGGGCGUAAAGGGCGUGCAGGCGGUCUGUUAAGUUCAGGGUGAAAGCUCCCGGCUCAACUGGGAGAGGUCCUUGGAUACUGGCAGACUUGAGGGAGGUAGAGGAGAGUGGAAUUCCCGGUGUAGUGGUGAUAUGCGUAGAUAUCGGGAGGAACACCAGUGGCGAAGGCGGCUCUCUGGGCCUUACCUGACGCUGAGGAGCGAAAGCUGGGGGAGCGAACGGG
rnacentral:rRNA from 1 species